CCCUUGGUUUCAGGACCGCGUCUCUGUCCUAUGCCGGAGUGCCAAUAGUCUGUGGAUCAUAAUGACACCUGGGUCAGCUGCUGGUUUCUUUUUUUCUUUCUUCCCUUUACUUUUCUUUUUUUUUUCUUCUCUUUUUUGGGGGUGCCUUGCUUUUUCGGGUCCGCUUCCCUGUCGUGCGUCAGAGGAGUGAGAGGGACCGAGCUGGACAGACUCAAUAACAACAACAGCGUGGAAUUUAAGAAGAAAACAAUGUCAACAGGGAAGAUCCAAAGACCCAAGCUGUGGAAUGCUGGUUCUGAUGUCUCCAGUGAGUGUUGAAGCAAAGUGAAGUACAAAGACUUUCUGCUCAAACGCACUGAAGAGAUUAACUGCUUCAAGUGACAGACAAGACCGGAUGCAUUUGCAGCGCUUACAGUGUGACGUGUUGAAUUUUGUGUGCACUUACUGUAAAUCGCAUAUUUGUAAAUCUACAGGCUGUGAGGUAUUGAGGACUAUGUUUGGGUGGGUGGUUGUGUGUCUGUUGUGUCAUGUACGCAAACUAUUUCAUGAUACAUAACGAAGCAAACAUUUUUUUCACUUUAAUCGCUCCUGACAGUCAUGAAAGGGACAUGAUGCAUGUACGUUCUACCCCGACUGAAUGGAAUGAAACUGUUGUGUAUAACUAAAUGCAAUAGUUCUUCUAACGAAGAGGACACUAUAGUGUUGGUCCACGCUUACUUUCUAUGGUUUCCUCAUAGAUGUGAAUCAGCAGAUGUGCAGUAGCUGGUGCAUGUGUAUUAAUUUUGUACAAAUGACAUUUCUCUAAAAAUAUUAAAUAUUUUAAAUAGGUUUCUAGUUAAGAGUUGGUAUUACAAUCAAUAGUAGUUGGAAAGCCAUGCAUUAUGGAAACUAUUGACCCGUCUAGAAGGUGUUUUGUAUUAUUCGGCUUGGCUGAAACACCCAACUGUGUAAUAGAUGUUUUGCAGCAAUUCCAAACACUUUGCAACCGAGGGUCAGCUUAGCCCAAUCAAUGUAUUGUGCUGCAUUCAUAGGCAAGAGUAAACGGUUCAAGACCACUUACAACAAUCUAAAAGCAACAAAAAAAAUACAAAUAAAUUUUUAUAUAUAUAUAUAUAUAUAUAUAUAUAUAUAUAUAUAUAGUAAAUGUACACCUUUUUAUUUAGCAUAAAAAGGGGAUGCCUACCCCUCACUCCAAUGUCAAUAAUUAGACAAAGCAACUGACUUUAAAGGUCAGUUUGAAAUACAAACUAUGAGCUUUACCGAAGCCUACUGCACUGUUAUAAAUAAAGCUACGUCUUUUUGUGCACCCAAAAUCGGCAGAAAACUGACCACACUCGUCCCUGACACGUCCAAAAAAGAUACUUGUGGAGCUGCACAGUUUGAUGCUGUGAAAUGUUUUUUUUUUACUUUUAUUUUUCUUUUGAAAAUGGCACAGCGUCAAAUUGGAUCCCAUUCGCCAUAUCAUAGUCUCAGCCCAUCAUACUUUUUUAAUUUCAUACUGUCAAACAGUUGUCAAUUGUCACGCAUUGCGGAUCUUAUAUGGUUUCAAUUAUUUCAAAGAACAUGUAUUCUACAUUAUAUUAAAAACAUGUGUAAUAAA